rnacentral:rRNA from 1 species
CCUACGGGAGGCAGCAGUAGGGAAUAUUGGACAAUGGACGCAAGUCUGAUCCAGCCAUCCCGCGUGAAGGAUUAAGGCCCUCUGGGUUGUAAACUUCUUUUCUUUGGGAAUAAAAAGCGGUAUUCAUAUCGCCUUGAAGGUACCAGAGGAAUAAGCACCGGCUAACUCCGUGCCAGCAGCCGCGGUAAUACGGAGGGUGCAAGCGUUAUCCGGAUUCACUGGGUUUAAAGGGUGCGUAGGUGGUCUGUUAAGUCAGCGGUGAAAGCCUGGAGCUCAACUCCAGAAUUGCCAUUGAUACUGACGGACUUGAAUCAAGUUGAGGUGGAUGGAAUAUUACAUGUAGCGGUGAAAUGCUUAGAUAUGUAAUAGAACACCAAUUGCGAAGGCAGUUCACUAAGCUUGCAUUGACACUGAGGCACGAAAGCGUGGGGAUCAAACAGGAUUAGAUACCCUGGUAGUCCACGCCCUAAACGAUGCAAACUCGACAUUAGCGAUAUACAGUUAGUGUCCAAGCGAAAGCGUUAAGUUUGCCACCUGGAAGUACGACCGCAAGGUGGAACGUCGAAAGGAAUUGACGG